rnacentral:lncRNA from 1 species
AUCAAGGGUGAAGCAUGGUGGCUAGCGGAGCCCGCAUCCUGACAGGUGUGCUGGCGUGGCCCUCUACCUGCCCCGCCGCGGCGGCCUGCGGCCAGGAGAAGUAGGCUGGCGACAUCUGGCGGGCCGCGGGCCGAGGGAGGGGAGGCGGGGCGGGGCGGUGUCUCCCUCACGUGACCCCAACAGCGCCCAGCGCGUCGCGCUGCGCCCCAACCUCGGGGUCGGUCACAGUCUGCGCCUGCGCGGGCCCCGGCUCGCUAGCCGUCCUGCGGGACGCCGGCGCUGAUGGGUUGGGGAAAUGGACGCCUGGAGAACGGAAAUCCAGUUAUCAAAAUUGACUCAAGAAGAGAGAACCUAACAGAACAAUAACAAUGGAAGAAAUUGGGAACAUUAUCACAAAGCUAUCAUCCUGCCAAACUCCAGGCUCAGAUGUCACAGGGUUUCUAUUGCCUGGGCUGGAGUGUAGUGGCAUGAUCAUGGCUCACUAUAGCCUUGACUUCCUGGGCUCAAGCGAUCCUUCCGCCUCAGCCUCCUGAGUAGCUGGGACUACAGAGACGGGGUUUCGCUCUUGUGACCAGGCUGGAAUGCAAUGGCGUGAUCUCGGCUCACCGCAACCUCCGACCUCUGGGUUCAAGUGAUUCUCCUGCCUCCGCCUCCCAAGUAGCUGGGAUUACAGGCAUGCGCCACCACGCCUGGCUAAUUUUGUAUUUUUAGUAGAGAUGGGGUUUCUCCAUGUUGGUCAGGCUGGUCUCAAACUCCUAACCUCAGGUGAUCUGCCCACCUCGGCCUCCCAAAGUGCUGGGAUUAUAGGCGUGAGCCACCGCGCCGGCUGCCUUAAAUCUAUUUAUCUGACGUUCCCAACUAGGAAAUUUUUUGUCCAAAUGAGUAUAUGUGAUUUUAAAGUAGAAAUCGAAGGUAAAAUAGGAUUUAUCUCAGUUCCUAUCUCCCUUCAAUCUAUUCUUCAUAUUGUCAAUAAUUUUUUUUUUUUUUUUUGAGACGUGGUCUCUGUCGCCAGGCUGGAGUGCAGUGGUGAAAUCUUGGCUCACUGCACCCUCUGCCUCCUGUGUUCAGGCGACUCUCCUGCCUCAGCCUCCGGAGUAGCUGGGAUUGCAGGCAUCCGCCAUCACACCCGGCUAAAUUUCGUAUUUUUUCAGUAGAGACAGUUUUGCGCCAGGCUGGUCUCAAACUCCUGACCUUAAGUGAUCCACCUGCCUCAGCCUCCCAAAGUGCUGGGAUUACAGGCGUGAGCCGCCGUGCCCGGCCAUCAGUAAUUUUUUAAAAUGUCACUUCAAUAAAUGCUUUUCCUCUGCCAUAAAGACCAAACAUCUUGCUGUGGCCUACAGGAGACAGGAUGAUCCAGCCCUUGCCUCCCUUACUCUCAUCUCUAGCUAAAACUGCGCUGCUGUCUCUGCACUCCAGCCACUGGCACUUCCUGAUUACUUGGGGCACGCUGUACUCAUCUUGCUCCCAGCCUCUGCCCAUGCAGGUGCCCUCUGCCCUCAGCACUGCCUUUCUCUACUUCAUUUAUAGACUGCUGUCCUUCAGAUCUCGGUUGAAGUGUCACUUCCUUGGGGAAGCUGGCUUACACUCUCAGGACUCGGUUAGGUUCCCCCGUCAGGCUCUUCUAUGUCACCAUGUUUCUAUUUUUCACAGCACUUAACCUGUUUUAAUUACGUUGCAAAUAGUUUUUGUUUGGGUCUAGAGAAGCAUGUAUUCACUAGUACAUUUUAUUUGUGUUCUCUAAUUAUUUUUUCUGCAGCUAAAUUAGAAAUUUGUAGUUUUCCCCCUAAAAAUGCAAUGAUGUUUUCUCUGAUUUUCUUGUCACCUUUCUUCCAAAAAAUCCAUGUGUUCAAAGUGCUUGCUUGCAGUUUGCCCCAUAAUAAAUGGUUGUUUAAUCCAAAUAUCUGAGUAGCAAACUGAGCUGAUCCUUCUGGAGAAAGUAUGGUUGAAUAGCCGAGACCACUGAGUAGUCGCAGAGAAGACCACACAUCCUGAACUCCUCAGUCUGGUGUGAGGGGAGGACAAUAGAUAACUGGAUGUGUAGUGUUCCCAAACAUCACUGAUCCCAAACCAUUGCUUCUGCCUGCCACUGCCACAAAUACAGUACGACUGCCACCCCUUCAUACUCAGCUUUAAUCCUCAGCAUUUCUUCUGGUCCUUUAUGUGCAGAUGUUACUCAAAGUCUACAUGGAAUGCCAAAAUUUCCACAGGCCUUGAUUUUUUUCACGGUGAUUAAGAUCAGAAGUAGAACCCAUCAAUACUAUAACACUGCACUGACUUUCUGAUUUCAAAAGCAACUCUACUCUCUACAACCCACGCAAAGUUUUUCCUUACCAUUUGGAACCCUUCAGGAGUUACACUGAAGCCUUGAUAAGACUGUUUCAGCCAGGAGUGGUGGCUCACGCCUGUAAUCCCAGCACUUUGGGAGGCUAAGGCAGGAGGAUUGCUUGAGUCUGGGCAACAUGGCAAGACUGGCUCUAUUUUUUUAAAAUAACAUUUUUAAAAGUAUGAUUAAAAGACUGUCUUUCUAUUGGCUUUGCUCCCCCGAUGGUGAGUGUCUCUAGGAGUCAUUAUCAAUAACAUCAGUGAGAAUUUCUUUGCUGGUCACAUGAACACCAAAUUCAAUCUUCAUAUCAACCGGUGUACAGUUCUGGGAGCAACCGGGAUUUCUCCGGGAUUUCAAAAACAGCCUAUGUGGCAUGACUCAUGAUAUCCACUUCAGUUUUAUACCAAGUGCAGCAAAGCCAAAUUUUGCUGCAAUUAGCUGUUGCCUAGACCACUGUGGGUCAUGAUUGGCAUCAUCCUUGAAAAACAUCUCCACUUUAGGUGGGCAAAACUCACAUCCUUCCUUGACACCAGGAUUUCUUUCGAGUGAAGAACCAGUUGGUAUUCUUCUGCAAACCAUUCAGUUGGAAUUAUUUCACACUGGGGCACAAUGAAAGCUGUCUCCUCACAUUUUCUGGUGAAAGCAGUUUUAAUACCUGCUUCCUGUAACAACAGAAAAAUGCAACUGGUAAUUUUAUUUGAGAUUGCAGCUUUUCCUUCCAGGUGAUUCUGACUGCAUUUCCUGCUGUAAUCUGGUCCUUAGAUUGCAGGACUUUUCCUGGCCUAUCUAACAAGCAAUUCAUAGACCUCUUUUGUUUUACCCUCACAUAGUUUUUUAGCAAUGUUCAGUACCUCAGCUCUCACUAUUAUCCUGAGUGGGAUGAAAGUUGCACCCAUGCUGAGAGGCAGAAAUCUCUGUUGUGAAUAUUUGAUACCUCUUGCUUUAUUUAUUUAUUUAUUUAUUUAUUGACACAGAUUCUCACUCUGUCACCUAGGCUGGAGUGCAUUGGCGCAAUCUUGGCCCACUGCAGCCUCAGCCUCCCAGGCUCAAGCGAUCCUCCCAUCUCAGCAUUGCCAGUAGCUGGGACCACAGGUGUGUGCCACCAUUCCCAGCUAAAUUUUGUAUUUUUUGUAGAGACAGGGUUUCACCAUGUUGCCUAGGCUGGUCUCAAACUUCUGAGCUCAAGUGAUCCACCCACCUCAGCCUCCCAAAGUGCUGGGAUUACAGGCAUGAGCCACCAUGCCUGGCCCUGUUGCCUCUUUAAAAAGCCAGUCCUGGCAGGGCACAGUGGCUCACGCCUGCAAUCUCAGCAUUUUGGGUGGCCAAGGCAGGAGGAUCUAUUGAGUCCAGGAGUUUGAGAGUUCAAGUCCAGCCUAGGCAAUAUAGUAAGACCUUGUCUC